GAUGAACGCUAGCGGCAGGCCUAAUACAUGCAAGUCGAACGGGGUUAUUCAGCAAUGGAUAACUUAGUGGCGCACGGGUGCGUAACGCGUAUGCAACCUACCCUUGACAGGGGGGAUAACCCGGAGAAAUUCGGAUUAACACCGCAUAAGAUAACAGAAUGGCAUCAUUUAGUUAUUAAAUUUGAGGAGGUCAAGGAUGG
rnacentral:rRNA from 1 species